rnacentral:rRNA from 1 species
AGAGUUUGAUCAUGGCUCAGAACGAACGCUGGCGGCGUGGAUAAGACAUGCAAGUCGAACGCUCAUUUCAGGGUAGCAAUAUUCUGAAGUGGGAGUGGCGCAAGGGUGCGUAACACGUGGGUAAUCUGCCAUGAAGUUUGGGAUAACUCGCUGAAAGGCGAGCUAAUACCGGAUACGACAAUCGGGAGGCAUCUCUUGAUUUUCAAAGCUGGGGACCGCAAGGCCUGGCGCUUUUUGAUGAACCCGCGGCCUAUCAGCUAGUUGGUGAGGUAACGGCCCACCAAGGCUAAGACGGGUAGCUGGUCUGAGAGGACGACCAGCCACACUGGAACUGAGACACGGUCCAGACACCUACGGGUGGCAGCAGUCGAGAAUUUUUCACAAUGGGCGAAAGCCUGAUGGAGCGACGCCGCGUGGGGGAUGAAUGGCUUCGGCCCGUAAACCCCUGUCAUUUGCGAACAAACGUUGUUAUUUAAAAGAUGGCAGCUUGAUGGUAGCGAAAGAGGAAGGGACGGCUAACUCUGUGCCAGCAGCCGCGGUAAUACAGAGGUCCCAAGCGUUGUUCGGAUUCACUGGGCGUAAAGGGUGCGUAGGUGGCGGGGUAAGUCUGAUGUGAAAUCUCCAAGCUUAACUUGGAAAUGGCAUUGGAAACUACUUUGCUUGAGGGUUGGAGGGGGGACUGGAAUACUUGGUGUAGCAGUGAAAUGCGUAGAUAUCAAGUGGAACACCAGUGGCGAAGGCGAGUCCCUGGACAACUCCUGACACUGAGGCACGAAAGCUAGGGGAGCAAACAGGAUUAGAUACCCUAGUAGUCC